UUUUCUCAUCUACUCUUCCUGGAAAGGUUUUGUAGCAUUUUGGAUUUUUGGAUUAAGGAUGCUCAACCUAUGGUACAUUUUCAUGAUAGUGAAACAGUUCUAAGUGCAUUGUUAUUUGCCCAAGGUUAUUGUAGUUGUUCAAAUCUAUGGAAGAUAGAGUCCAGCUACAAUACAAGUUUCCAGUGGGAUACAGACAGAAGAUGACAUGAAAGAUUGAUAGGAUUGGGAACAAUCUCUGGAAGCCUGUCUUUGUGCCAGAUCCAUAGCCAGUUUUCUCUUCUUGGGCAGGAGCUGCCGUUAUACUGUUCUGGGGGGUUGCGGUUUUUCUGGGACAACAAGUUUGACCAUGCAAUGGUGGCUUUCCUGGACUGUGUGCAGCAGUUCAAAGAAGAGGUUGAGAAAGGCGAGACACGUUUUUGUCUUCCCUACAGGAUGGAUGUGGAGAAAGGCAAGAUUGAAGACACAGGAGGCAGCGGUGGCUCCUAUUCCAUCAAAACCCAGUUUAACUCUGAGGAGCAGUGGACAAAAGCUCUCAAGUUCAUGCUGACGAAUCUUAAGUGGGGUCUUGCUUGGGUAUCCU
rnacentral:sRNA from 1 species